rnacentral:lncRNA from 10 species
CACAAGACAGGUGAAUGCCUUCAUCAUGACUGCCAGAGAGGGAGGAGGCCAACCUGGCACCACCAUGGAGGUCCUCAAAUCUACCACCCUGGCAGAGGCGAGCUGUGAGAUGGCCCUGGCUUUUGUGGGACCACCUUCUGAAGGUCAUCUGGAACUGGAUGAGAAGUGCUCAAGGAUAUAAGAUGAGAAACAGCCUUAAAAAGGUGAAGUAAUUUGACCAAGGUAUAGGCAAAACAGUGGAGCCAAUAUUUGAACACGAGUCUGUCUAAAGCCUCCAGGUGGAGAAAGGAGACUGCACUAAGAAUGGGCCGAGUCAUCAGACAGCUGAAGAUAAUAUAGGAAAAUGGAAAUAAACAAGGAGUAACUUAAUUUUAUCCCAGACUUUGGCAUACGCCCAAAACAAGAAGUCAUUCUCUCUCCUAAAAGAAGGGGCACUAUUUGUACCUUUAGAGACUGUCUUGUUCUGAAUAAUUUUUCCCAUCUGUUUUGUGGGAGAGAUACAAGCUGAUUUUUCCCCCAACCAUCAUGGAGAUUUUAUUUUAAUUCAGGCACAAUUGAAGUGACUAAACAAAGUGCAGGAAAACUUCUUGAGGUUGCAAGAGUGAGCAAAAAUAUGGCAAAGGGACCUUAAUAUAUAUACAGGUAAGAUCAUAAAUUAUAAGGAAGUUUUCUAAAAUGAUUGCACAGAAUGAUGGGUUCUGGGAUAUUCGUUAUUGCCAAGAAAGAGUACCUUGAAGACAUUGUAGACUACAGAACUGGAAGUGGCCCAAAGAUGCAUAAGAAAAAUAAUAAUAAUAACAAAAGUCACUUAUUGAGUGGUUAUAAUAUUCCAGCUUACCAUUUUAAGCACCUUGCUUUAAUUAUUUUAUUUUAUCCUUAUAAGGCAAUAUACUAUGAUCAGCCUGAUUUUACAAAUGAAUAUGAGAUUAAAUAAUUUAUCCAAGGUCACAUGUCUCAUAAGAGACAGUGCGGUGCCCUAUCAAGGCACUUAACCUCUGGGCUAACCACUGCUCUUAGCAGUAAGGGUGAUGUUUCCCCAAGUAGACACUAGAAACAACAGGCAUGAUACCAGCAACAAUGGCAAAAAGAUUCCAUGGUCAGAUUUACAGGGUAAAACUCUUACUAAGGACAUGUCUGUAAUAUGCUAAUGUAAAUUAAGAAAAUAAAGGAGAUGGCGAUCACAUGAUUUGACUUUAGAGUUUUAUUUUUACAGAUGAAAGUGUGAAGUAUGCUGUGGAAAAUGCUGUUUCAGGUUGGUUUCCUUAUGGAGACGAUAAAAUGAAUUUUCUGGGAGGGGUAAUGAUUGAGAGGAUCUGGUGGUGAUGGACCUGCAUGACCCUAAAGAGACUCAGCUGGAGGGAGG